UGCUUCGGUGACCGAGUAAAGUGGCGAACGGGUGAGUAACACGUGAGUAACGUACCUUCAAGUGGGGAAUAACUGUUCGAAAGGACAGCUAAUGCCGCAUGAGACCACAGUCCCUUAUGGGGCAGGGGUCAAAGCCUUGUGCGCUUGAAGAUCGGCUCGCGGCCCAUUAGGUAGUUGGCGGGGUAAUGGCCCACCAAGCCGGAGAUGGGUAGCUGGUCUGAGAGGAUGAUCAGCCACACUGGGACUGAGACACGGCCCAGACUCCUACGGGAGGCAGCAGUGGGGAAUCUUCCGCAAUGGACGAAAGUCUGACGGAGCAACGCCGCGUGGGUGAUGAAGGCUUUCGGGUCGUAAAGCCCUGUCAGGGGGGAAGAAUUUUGACGGUACCCCCAAAGGAAGCACCGGCUAACUCCGUGCCAGCAGCCGCGGUAAUACGGAGGGUGCAAACGUUGCUCGGAAUCAUUGGGCGUAAAGCGUGCGUAGGCGGUCUACCAAGUCUGAUGUGAAAGCCUGGGGCUCAACCUCAGAAAGCCAUUGGAAACUGGUAGACUUGAGAGCAGGAGGGGUAGGUGGAAUUCCAGGUGUAGGGGUGAAAUCCGUAGA
rnacentral:rRNA from 1 species